GCCGAAGUGGUGGAAUUGGUAGACACGCAAGGUUCAGGACCUUGUGGGGGCAACCUCGUGGAAGUUCGAGUCUUCUCUUCGGCACCA
rnacentral:tRNA from 1 species